rnacentral:piRNA from 1 species
AAUAGGGACUGGUCUAAGGAAGG